rnacentral:rRNA from 1 species
GGGUUGUGAGGUUAAGCGACUAAGCGUACACGGUGGAUGCCCUGGCAGUCAGAGGCGAUGAAGGGCGUGCUAAUCUGCGAUAAGCGCCGGUAAGGUGAUAUGAACCGUUAUAACCGGCGAUACCCGAAUGGGGAAACCCAGUGUGACUCGUCACACUAUCAUUAACUGAAUCCAUAGGUUAAUGAGGCGAACCGGGGGAACUGAAACAUCUAAGUACCCCGAGGAAAAGAAAUCAACCGAGAUUCCCCCAGUAGCGGCGAGCGAACGGGGAGGAGCCCAGAGCCUGAAUCAGCAUGUGUGUUAGUGGAAGCGUCUGGAAAGGCGCGCGAUACAGGGUGACAGCCCCGUACACAAAAGCGCAUGUGCUGUGAGCUCGAUGAGUAGGGCGGGACACGUGGUAUCCUGUCUGAAUAUGGGGGGACCAUCCUCCAAGGCUAAAUACUCCUGACUGACCGAUAGUGAACCAGUACCGUGAGGGAAAGGCGAAAAGAACCCCGGCGAGGGGAGUGAAAAAGAACCUGAAACCGUGUACGUACAAGCAGUGGGAGCACAGGUUUACCUGUGUGACUGCGUACCUUUUGUAUAAUGGGUCAGCGACUUAUAUUCUGUAGCAAGGUUAACCGUAUAGGGGAGCCGUAGGGAAACCGAGUCUUAACCGGGCGUUAAGUUGCAGGGUAUAGACCCGAAACCCGGUGAUCUAGCCAUGGGCAGGUUGAAGGUUGGGUAACACUAACUGGAGGACCGAACCGACUAAUGUUGAAAAAUUAGCGGAUGACCUGUGGCUGGGGGUGAAAGGCCAAUCAAACCGGGAGAUAGCUGGUUCUCCCCGAAAGCUAUUUAGGUAGCGCCUCGUGAAUUCAUCUCCGGGGGUAGAGCACUGUUUCGGCUAGGGGGCCAUCCCGGCUUACCAACCCGAUGCAAACUGCGAAUACCGGAGAAUGUUAUCACGGGAGACACACGGCGGGUGCUAACGUCCGUCGUGAAGAGGGAAACAACCCAGACCGCCAGCUAAGGUCCCAAAGUCAUGGUUAAGUGGGAAACGAUGUGGGAAGGCCCAGACAGCCAGGAUGUUGGCUUAGAAGCAGCCAUCAUUUAAAGAAAGCGUAAUAGCUCACUGGUCGAGUCGGCCUGCGCGGAAGAUGUAACGGGGCUAAACCAUGCACCGAAGCUGCGGCAGCGACACUGUGUGUUGUUGGGUAGGGGAGCGUUCUGUAAGCCUGUGAAGGUGUGUCGUGAGGCAUGCUGGAGGUAUCAGAAGUGCGAAUGCUGACAUAAGUAACGAUAAAGCGGGUGAAAAGCCCGCUCGCCGGAAGACCAAGGGUUCCUGUCCAACGUUAAUCGGGGCAGGGUGAGUCGACCCCUAAGGCGAGGCCGAAAGGCGUAGUCGAUGGGAAACGGGUUAAUAUUCCCGUACUUGGUGUUACUGCGAAGGGGGGACGGAGAAGGCUAUGUUGGCCGGGCGACGGUUGUCCCGGUUUAAGCGUGUAGGUGUGUGUUCCAGGUAAAUCCGGUUCACUUUAACACUGAGGCGUGACGACGAGGCACUACGGUGCUGAAGCAACAAAUGCCCUGCUUCCAGGAAAAGCCUCUAAGCAUCAGGUAACAUCAAAUCGUACCCCAAACCGACACAGGUGGUCAGGUAGAGAAUACCAAGGCGCUUGAGAGAACUCGGGUGAAGGAACUAGGCAAAAUGGUGCCGUAACUUCGGGAGAAGGCACGCUGACACGUAGGUGAAGUGAUUUACUCAUGGAGCUGAAGUCAGUCGAAGAUACCAGCUGGCUGCAACUGUUUAUUAAAAACACAGCACUGUGCAAACACGAAAGUGGACGUAUACGGUGUGACGCCUGCCCGGUGCCGGAAGGUUAAUUGAUGGGGUCAGCGCAAGCGAAGCUCCUGAUCGAAGCCCCGGUAAACGGCGGCCGUAACUAUAACGGUCCUAAGGUAGCGAAAUUCCUUGUCGGGUAAGUUCCGACCUGCACGAAUGGCGUAAUGAUGGCCAGGCUGUCUCCACCCGAGACUCAGUGAAAUUGAACUCGCUGUGAAGAUGCAGUGUACCCGCGGCAAGACGGAAAGACCCCGUGAACCUUUACUAUAGCUUGACACUGAACAUUGAGCCUUGAUGUGUAGGAUAGGUGGGAGGCUUUGAAGUGUGGACGCCAGUCUGCAUGGAGCCGACCUUGAAAUACCACCCUUUAAUGUUUGAUGUUCUAACGUGGACCCGUAAUCCGGGUUGCGGACAGUGUCUGGUGGGUAGUUUGACUGGGGCGGUCUCCUCCUAAAGAGUAACGGAGGAGCACGAAGGUUGGCUAAUCCUGGUCGGACAUCAGGAGGUUAGUGCAAUGGCAUAAGCCAGCUUGACUGCGAGCGUGACGGCGCGAGCAGGUGCGAAAGCAGGUCAUAGUGAUCCGGUGGUUCUGAAUGGAAGGGCCAUCGCUCAACGGAUAAAAGGUACUCCGGGGAUAACAGGCUGAUACCGCCCAAGAGUUCAUAUCGACGGCGGUGUUUGGCACCUCGAUGUCGGCUCAUCACAUCCUGGGGCUGAAGUAGGUCCCAAGGGUAUGGCUGUUCGCCAUUUAAAGUGGUACGCGAGCUGGGUUUAGAACGUCGUGAGACAGUUCGGUCCCUAUCUGCCGUGGGCGCUGGAGAACUGAGGGGGGCUGCUCCUAGUACGAGAGGACCGGAGUGGACGCAUCACUGGUGUUCGGGUUGUCAUGCCAAUGGCACUGCCCGGUAGCUAAAUGCGGAAGAGAUAAGUGCUGAAAGCAUCUAAGCACGAAACUUGCCCCGAGAUGAGUUCUCCCUGAGACUUAGAGUCUCCUGAAGGAACGUUGAAGACGACGACGUUGAUAGGCCGGGUGUGUAAGCGCAGCGAUGCGUUGAGCUAACCGGUACUAAUGAACCGUGAGGCUUAACCUUACAACGCCGAAG